rnacentral:rRNA from 1 species
GACGAACGCUGGCGGCGUGCUUAACACAUGCAAGUCGAACGGAAAGGCCCUGCUUGCAGGGUACUCGAGUGGCGAACGGGUGAGUAACACGUGGGUGAUCUGCCCUCCACUUCGGGAUAAGCCUGGGCAACUGGGUCUAAUACCUGAUAGGAGCCAUUUUUAGCGUGAUGGUUGGAAAGUUUUUUCGGUGUAGGAUGAGCUCGCGGCCUAUCAGCUUGUUGGUGGGGUAAUGGCCUACCAAGGCGGCGACGGGUAGCCGGCCUGCGAGGGUGGACGGCCACAUUGGGACUGAGAUACGGCCCAGACUCCUACGGGAGGCAGCAGUGGGGAAUAUUGCACAAUGGGCGCAAGCCUGAUGCAGCGACGCCGCGUGGGGGAUGACGGCCUUCGGGUUGUAAACUCCUUUCGCUAGGGACGAAGCUUUUUGUGACGGUACCUAGAUAAGAAGCACCGGCUAACUACGUG